GCAAAUACUUCUUAAGAAAAAAGCCCAUGGAAGCCAAUGCAUGAUAAGCCAUUGUUUCGUUUAUAGGAUUAAAGCAAGUAAAGCCACCAGACAAUUAGGACGGUGGAAGGCUGAACUACUAGAAAUGGCAGCAAGGUGAGUUGGAGGCGGAGAUCACUCUCUUUGUUUUUUACAAGGUCGAGACGAGAAUUUUCCUGUCACGGUGGAGCAGAGUAAGUUUCCCCUGAUUCAGAUAAGAUAAAACAAUUGUCAUCCUGGUAAACCAUCAUUUGCCAAAGGAUUCUAUUCUCUACAUGCAUACGCCUAAAAUACACAGAAAAACUUCUUUUUUUUUUUUAAA
rnacentral:misc_RNA from 1 species